GAUGAACGCUGGCGGCGUGCCUAAUACAUGCCAGUCGAGCGAACAGAUGAGGAGCUUGCUCCUCUGACGUUAGCGGCGGACGGGUGAGUAACACGUGGAUAACCUACCUAUAAGACUGGGAUAACUUCGGGAAACCGGAGCUAAUACCGGAUAAUAUAUUGAACCGCAUGGUUCAAUAGUGAAAGACGGUUUUGCUGUCACUUAUAGAUGGAUCCGCGCCGCAUUAGCUAGUUGGUAAGGUAACGGCUUACCAAGGCAACGAUGCGUAGCCGACCUGAGAGGGUGAUCGGCCACACUGGAACUGAGACACGGUCCAGACUCCUACGGGAGGCAGCAGUAGGGAAUCUUCCGCAAUGGGCGAAAGCCUGACGGAGCAACGCCGCAUGAGUGAUGAAGGUCUUCGGAUCGUAAAACUCUGUUAUUAGGGAAGAACAAAUGUGUAAGUAACUAUGCACGUCUUGACGGUACCUAAUCAGAAAGCCACGGCUAACUGCGUG
rnacentral:rRNA from 1 species